UGGGCGCAAGCCUGAUGCAGCCAUGCCGCGUGUAUGAAGAAGGCCUUCGGGUUGUAAAGUACUUUCAGCGGGGAGGAAGGGAGUAAAGUUAAUACCUUUGCUCAUUGACGUUACCCGCAGAAGAAGCACCGGCUAACUCCGUGCCAGCAGCCGCGGUAAUACGGAGGGUGCAAGCGUUAAUCGGAAUUACUGGGCGUAAAGCGCACGCAGGCGGUUUGUUAAGUCAGAUGUGAAAUCCCCGGGCUCAACCUGGGAACUGCAUCUGAUACUGGCAAGCUUGAGUCUCGUAGAGGGGGGUAGAAUUCCAGGUGUAGCGGUGAAAUGCGUAAAGAUCUGGAGGAAUACCGGUGGCGAAGGCGGCCCCCUGGACGAAGACUGACGCUCAAGUGCGAAAGCGUGGGGAGCAAACAGGAUUAAAUACCCUGGUAGUCCACGCCGUAAACGAUGUCGACUUGGAGGUUGUGCCCUUGAGGCGUGGCUUCCGGAGCUAACGCGUUAAGUCGACCGCCUGGGGAGUACGGCCGCAAGGUUAAAACUCAAAUGAAUUGACGGGGGCCCGCACAAGCGGUGGAGCAUGUGGUUUAAUUCGAUGCAACGCGAAGAACCUUACCUGGUCUUGACAUCCACAGAACCUUGCAGAGAUACAAGGGUGCCUUCGGGAACUGUGAGACAGGUGCUGCAUGGCUGUCGUCAGCUCGUGUUGUGAAAUGUUGGGUUAAGUCCCGCAACGAGCGCAACCCUUAUCCUUUGUUGCCAGCGGUCCGGCCGGG
rnacentral:rRNA from 1 species